UAAAAUUAGAUGGUUGCAUUUAUUCAAUUGACCAAGCUCAAAUUUUAAAAGUAAUUUUCUCGAACUUUAUGAAACACCCAAACUAUCAAAUUUCUCAUCGAAUGUUGCAAGUAAUUGUGACCUCCUUGUCUCAAAAGUAAAUGGUCUCCUUAUAUACAAUCCCAUAAAUUAUAGACGUAUCAAAACAAACUUUAAUUAAAUUACAAAAUAACC
rnacentral:lncRNA from 1 species